rnacentral:rRNA from 1 species
GACGAACGCUGGCGGCGUGCCUAAUACAUGCAAGUCGAGCGGAACUGGGGGAGCUUGCUCCUUCCAGUUUAGCGGCGGACGGGUGAGUAACACGUGGGCAACCUGCCCUGCAGAUCGGGAUAACUCCGGGAAACCGGUGCUAAUACCGAAUAGUUUGGCGCCUCUCCUGAGGCGCUACGGAAAGACGGUUUCGGCUGUCACUGCAGGAUGGGCCCGCGGCGCAUUAGCUAGUUGGUGGGGUAACGGCCCACCAAGGCGACGAUGCGUAGCCGACCUGAGAGGGUGACCGGCCACACUGGGACUGAGACACGGCCCAGACUCCGACGGGAGGCAGCAGUAGGGAAUCUUCCGCAAUGGACGCAAGUCUGACGGAGCAACGCCGCGUGAGUGACGAAGGUUCUCGGAUCGUAAAACUCUGUUGUGAGGGAAGAACACGUACCAACUAACUAUUGGUACCUUGACGGUACCUCGCCAGAAAGCCACGGCUAACUACGUGCCAGCCGCCGCGGUAA